AGCUGGUUCUGAUGUUAAUAUUUUAGAGAGAGUGGGGAAAAGAAAUAGCACUUUGCUAUGAGUCGAAAGCUUUCCUGUCAGUUUUGUUCAUUGUAACGUUUGCUCCUGAUGAGAAACACAGCCACAGGGGGAUGACAGAAUUAAGCAAACUGAACUUAUGCACUUUGAUGCAACAAGUCCUUACCAUUACAUGUGUAGCCAUUUUAAGAUUUAUGGAAGGCAUUCGGCCUUGGCAGAUGAGUGGAGUGAAGAGGAAGUCAUGUAAAGUGAUGAGCAGAAACCAAGGAUCGAACAUCAUUUUUGAGCAGCAGCCUGGCAACAGAGCGUAAAGAAUGCACAUGGCUACAGGGCUGCAGGCCUGAUCGACAGGGUAAUCAGCGGCAUGGGACACACCUGGGCCCGGUGUGCCCCAUGCAUAUAAGCCAGAGCAGCAGUCAGUCUUGGGUUGGACCUCCUCCUCUCACAGCUUCCUUCCUUCCUUCCUUCCUAUCCUUUCCUUCCUUCCUUCCUUCCUUCCUUCCGUUUGUUUGGUUUCUUGUCUUUGUUUUUACAGCAUCCAUGCAGCACAUUUUCACUCAUCCACUCUCUACACUAAUGACUUUACAGAUUCUUCCCACUCAUUGGUUUUGCUUAUUAAUAAAUCAC